rnacentral:rRNA from 1 species
UACGUAGGGGGCAAGCGUUGUCCGGAAUCAUUGGGCGUAAAGAGCUCGUAGGCGGUCUGUCGCGUCGGCUGUGAAAUCCCGAGGCUCAACCUCGGGUCUGCAGUCGAUACGGGCAAACUAGAGUAUUGCAGGGGAGACUGGAAUUCCUGGUGUAGCGGUGAAAUGCGCAGAUAUCAGGAGGAACACCGGUGGCGAAGGCGGGUCUCUGGGCAAUAACUGACGCUGAGGAGCGAAAGCGUGGGGAGCGAACAGG